AAACCCGAGCUCGCGCUUCUCUCUCUUAAAAUCACUCUUCAUCUCCCCGAUCUCACUAGUCAUCUAUCUCUCCCACUCUCCCUCUCAGCUUUCUCUCUCUUCCGCUCAACAAAACUACCUCCCUCUCCAUUCGACCAAAACACCCGAGCUCCCACCUCUCUUUCUCAAAAUCACAUCUGCCCUCAGUCCUCAGCCUUCCUUUCUCUCUCUCUCUCUCUCUCUGAGAACCUCUCUUUGCUGCCUGUUUGAUCGUACUUUCAUCUCUCUAUCCCACCGCAGUGACCGCCAGUCGACCACCACCGCAGUGUUCUCCAGUCGACCACCACCGCUUCGAUCUCUGCUGCUUCCAUCCGCCCUCUGCUACUUCGAUUCGCAGAGCCCUCUACUGCUUUGGGACUUUGAUUCCCGGAGUUUCGAGCAAUAGCCAGUUCAUCUUUUUGGUGAGGGAUUGUUGUCACCCUUUUGCUUCUUCUUGCUCUGCAGAGUUAUGGGUUCGUUCUUUCUUUUGCUUCCACAAAUGUUUACAUUGUCUAUAUGGGAGAAAGAAAGUAUGGAAACCCCGAGCUGGUAUCUGAGUCUCACCAUGAGAUUCUGUCAUAUGUAUUUGGAAGGUUAGCUCUAAUGCGUAAUUAUGGGUGGUUCCUCAUUCUAACUCAACAACAGUUAAAUGGUCGAAUUUGGAGAACCAGCUCCUAUCCGUGUGCCCGUCAUGUUCUGUUCCGUAUUGCUUCUACCCUCAGACUACAUGUUCCUUGCCCCCUGCAGUUUAUCUAUUGAAGUUUCUUUGCUCUGACCAUAAUGGAUUAUUGCAUGAUGUCACUGAAAUUAUGUCUGAUCUUGAGCUUUCGAUUGAAAGGGUGAAAGUGACAACAACACCAGAUGACAGGGUCUUGGACCUGGUCUUCAUAACAGAUAACAUGGAUCUUCUGCACACAAAGGAGUGGCAAGAUAAGACAUUGAAACAGUUGCAAGCCGUAUUGGGUGAGUCGUGUACCAGUUGCGAACUUCAGUUGGUAGGUCCUGAGUAUGAUCCCCACCAUGGCAUUCCUUUUCUGUCUCCAUUAGUAGCUGAAGAGCUAUUUAGGUGUGAGUUGUUGGAUAAAGAAAUCAGUUCUCAAGCUCUUAGUCCUGAUAUGACAACUCAUUGAGCCCAGCACAUACAUUACUUCAGAUCCAUUGUGCUGAUCACAAGGGUCUCUUGUAUGACAUUAUGAGAACUUUUAAAGACAGCAACAUCAAGAAAGCUGGAAACCUAAUCUAUACCAAAGGGUCUUGUACGUAAAUAAUAAUAAUUAAUAUAUCAAGCUCCUUUUGUAUGCCUAUAUAUCUCUCCAAGAUCCGACCCGGUUGUGUAGCUGCCAAGCCCAAUGCGCAGCGCCGAUCCGCGGUGGUUUCGGUCUCCGAGGCUGUCAAGGAGAAGAAGGCCAAUGCUUCCACCAAUCUGCUGAUAACAAGAGAGGAAGGAUUGGAGCUUUAUGAAGACAUGGUAUUGGGUAGAGCUUUUGAGGACAUGUGUGCUCAGAUGUAUUACAGACUCCGAUAGACUGGGCAUUGUUUCAGUAAGAAAUUUUGGACAGCACGAAACAUGCUCUCCAUACUGCUUGAGGAUGAAUCUGUUCUGAUAUGGUACUCAGGCAAAGAUGAGAAAUAUGUUAAACUAAGCCAUGUCUCUAGAAUUAUACCUGGCCAACGCACUGUAAGUUCUUCAUACUGAGAUCUCUUGCACCUUUUUCAAAUGGUGAACACGUCCCCUAGUAUUUUAUAGCUUUGCAAAUGAUAGUUGUAGAUCUGUGGCAUUUGAUUUCAAAUGCAACUUUUAGCUUAAUGUACAAUAAGAACAGUUAGUAGCAUGGCCAUCGCAUGAUUAAAUGUAUUUUCUGAAUGAGUGAAGGAGGAGAUAACGUGUACAUGUUAUUUUAAUCAAAGUAAAACGUACGUUAGUCAUAAACUAAGAGCCGUAUACAACUGAUCCCAAUUGCUCAAAAGAAGGGGGAAAAGCUCAAGAGUUCUAUACCAUAAUUGAUUAUUUCACGUACUGAAUGUAUUGUAGCCAGGCAACCUGGAAAGGAGGAAAGGUUUAUACAAUUUUGGGCGUAUUUCUUUGCUUACCCUUACUGUGUAGGAAGUUUAAAUAUUUUAGCUAAUGUGAGGCAUAGUUAUGAGUUUAUUUAUUAUUUUUUUGCUUACUUGCAUGCUUGCAUAAGUUCCUUGUUGUAGAUGGUUGCCUGCAUGGCCUAUCAUAUAGGGUCAUAUGAUUGGCUGCUAUUUAUAUUUUCAUACAGGAGUGGGAAUGAGGAAAAGGUGCAUUGCACCAUGGCUUCAGUGGUAAAAGGGUGGGGUAGCUGGCCUGUUUUGAGCAGUGAUGGCCUGUUUUGAAGAAUGAACAGAGAACAUCAAUUAGAACAAACUCCAGAUGUUUGCUCUGUUUAAUGAUCUCUCUCCCUCCCUCUCUCUCCCCUUUGAAACCUUUAAUUCCAUUUCAGGCAUGGGAGUUGAUGAUUCUGAAACUGACGCUAUAAUAAAUUGUGAGAUCAAACUAGAAUUCUGAUGUUCAUAUACCUGUUGGAUCAUUUCAUGCCUUGUUAAGAGAUUUGUAUUAGUUUUCUGUUAGCUUGUUUUAAAAUGAACUCUUAGUCAACCAGGUGGCAUUGGGUGAAAAAAGUGCUUAUCUAACUUCCCGUCAUUCAUACAUACAUAAAGGAGAGGCAUCAAGGCAUAUGGGAGUGACAGCGAAAGUAAAGGCUGUUGUUGAUGCAACUUCUGCUGGCAUCUUCAUUGUCAUCACAAAGUGUGUUCUUCAAGACUUUGUUGGUUUCAACAUUUUACUAAAUUUUGUUUGAAAACUAGUUCUGUUGAUGUAAUGACUUUGUUGGAUAUAUGGAUGAAUGUAUCAGAUUUUAACAUAAAUGAAUGUGUU